rnacentral:rRNA from 1 species
GACGAACGCUGGCGGCGUGCUUAACACAUGCAAGUCGAACGGAAAGGCCCUGCUUUUGUGGGGUGCUCGAGUGGCGAACGGGUGAGUAACACGUGAGUAACCUGCCCUUGACUUUGGGAUAACUUCAGGAAACUGGGGCUAAUACCGGAUAGGAGCUCCUGCUGCAUGGUGGGGGUUGGAAAGUUUCGGCGGUUGGGGAUGGACUCGCGGCUUAUCAGCUUGUUGGUGGGGUAGUGGCUUACCAAGGCUUUGACGGGUAGCCGGCCUGAGAGGGUGACCGGCCACAUUGGGACUGAGAUACGGCCCAGACUCCUACGGGAGGCAGCAGUGGGGAAUAUUGCACAAUGGGCGAAAGCCUGAUGCAGCAACGCCGCGUGCGGGAUGACGGCCUCCGGGUUGUAAACCGCUUUCGCCUGUGACGAAGCGUGAGUGACGGUAAUGGGUAAAGAAGCACCGGCUAACUACGUG